rnacentral:rRNA from 1 species
CCUACGGGAGGCUGCAGUGAGGAAUAUUGGUCAAUGGGCGCGAGCCUGAACCAGCCAAGUAGCGUGAAGGAUGACUGCCCUACGGGUUGUAAACUUCUUUUAUAAAGGAAUAAAGUGAGGCACGUGUGCCUUUUUGUAUGUACUUUAUGAAUAAGGAUCGGCUAACUCCGUGCCAGCAGCCGCGGUAAUACGGAGGAUCCGAGCGUUAUCCGGAUUUAUUGGGUUUAAAGGGAGCGUAGAUGGGUUGUUAAGUCAGUGGUGAAAGUUUGAGGCUCAACCGUAAAAUUGCAAUUGAUACUGGCAGGCUAGAGUAUAGUUGAGGUAGGCGGAAUUCGUGGUGUAGCGGUGAAAUGCUUAGAUAUCACGAAGAACACCGAUUGCGAAGGCAGCUUACUAAACUGCCACUGACAUUGAUGCUCGAAAGUGUGGGUAUCAAACAGGAUUAGAUACCCCUGUAGUC